CCAAAAACACCAUCAAGCUACUUCGAUGUCACAAUCCUCCCUCAUAUGUCUUCUUCCUCUCUUCACUAAUCUACAUACUACACUUUUUCCUUGCUAUCUCCCUUGUCAUCAUCAUACUCUCUUCCAAGACAAAGUCGUCAUCACCCUUUUUAUAUUAUCAAAACACCAUUAAAACACCUCCAUUUCUUUUAUGAAAUCAAAACCCUAUUAUUACCCCUUUUCAAAGAUACAAAUUAGAGUUAGUAAAACAUUCAUGCAGGCCAAGUGAAGGAAUGUAGAAGAAUGGAGGAGUUAGAGUUUUUACUCAUGGGUUGAAGAAGUAGAAAACAAGCUUGGGUUUGAGAUAACAUAGAACCCAACUUAAAACCUCUCUAAGGGUUGGAGUGGAAAUGAAUUGUGCUGCAAUUCGUAAAAUAUAAUUAAAUUUCAACGAAGACAAUUUUCUUGACCACUUCUUUUGCAAUGAUUAUUAACAAAAGUCAGAGACAAUUUUUGAAGCAUGUAAGAGUUUAUCUACAAGACCAUAACUUGUGCUCUGGAUAUCCGAUUGGUGCAUACCGGCAGACGUUGGAAAGCUAAAAAUCAGAGCUACAAAUUUUGUGUUAGAAUAAAAGUCUAAUGCCGAACUUUACUGGGCCUAAACUGCAGAUUUCCUAAUAUGAACUUUUGUAAUAAUUUUAAUUAGUAGGUCACUUGUUUUUAAACCCUAAA